UUAAAUGUGGCAAGUACGUACAGACACGUCUUUAUAGGCGGGUGUCUGUGUGCGCUAAGGCCGUUGGUGGUAGGCUCUACAGUCUACCAUGAAGCUUGAAGCUUUCAGCGCUUGCAACAAUGGCGACGACUAGUGCUUCUCUCCUCCAUCUUCCUUCCCCAUCUUUCUUUCCUGUCUCUCUUCCAAAAACAGUCAUUCCUAUCCCUCUCCUCCGUCUCAACAAAACCCAUAUUCUCAUUCUUUCUACCAUUGCACUUUUCCCACCGUUUCUCCGCGCCAAAUUCCUCCUCACCGUCUGAUGAGCAUGUAUGGCAAAUGGGGUUUCAAUUUUCUGACUGUAAGGUCCGAAUCCAAACCCAGCAUCAACAGAGAGCCUAUGCUGCCUCCGUACAAUUUACAGGUUCAACCAAAGUUUUGUAGCUUGAAGAUCUUAGGCUGGACAUUCACAAGGAAAGGAAAUAUCUUAUGCAUGCGGUUCAAGAGCUGGUAUCCGGAGAUCAAUGUGAAGGGAGAUUUGUAUUUGGCAGGGAUAGCAAGAAGCCAAAGGAUUCUGGUAAUGAUGACAGGUUCACAAGAGAUGGAAUGAAGAGCUUGCUUCAAACUCUGAGGAUGAGGGCAGGGCACUCUCCUCCAAAAUACAAAACCAAGCACCUCAAGACAAAUGAGUUUAGAGUGCUGGAAGAGUUCAAGGGUAUGCAAUUUGUUGGAAAACCUAGGAAAAACAAGCAGGUUACUGAAAGGGAUGCUGCUGUAAAGGCAUUGGCAUGGUUAACUCAUACUACUGACAACAGCCGAGAUGAAGAUGACAAGUCCCCAUCUGAUGUGACUGACAACAUGCUUAAGCUUCUUGGGAAACAUAGAAGAUGAAAAUGUCUGGUUGAUGAUGGAUGAUGGAAAAUGGUAGGAGAUUGACAUAUAAAUUCUCGGCAUCCUCUGUUAGGAUUUCUGAACACCAUGGUGACCUGCAGAAUACAUAAUGUAGUAAAAUUUGGCAGCUUGAGGGCGCAGGGAAGUUUUCUAACUGAGUAAAUACUCAUUCAGUUACCCUCGUUGGGUGCAUGCAAUAACAGCUCCCCUCACAUGAGAUAAUCUUUACAAGUUCAACUAUGAUUGCAUUAUUUUCAACUAUGAUUGCAUUAUUUUGCCAUAGCAAUGAGAAGUUUAUAAGGGUGGAUAACUUCUCAUCAAUGUAUUGACCACUAGUUCUGUAACUUAUCAUAACUUAGUACAUAGGAAGUGAAGGUUCGAAAGUUUCCAACAAUACAGGGUUUCAUCUAUCUCUAGUUGAAAAUAGUUCAGGCAAGCAAACAGAUGGAGAGUGCAAUGGGUUGACCAAGCAGUCUCCCUCAGAAAAGAAAUUGAAUUACAUUCGAUAGCUUUGUGAACAAAUUGAUUCUUUUUAUCACGUAAAAUAUU